rnacentral:rRNA from 1 species
UACGGGGGGGGCAAGCGUUGUUCGGAAUUACUGGGCGUAAAGGGCUUGUAGGCGGCCAACUAAGUCCGACGUGAAAUCCCCAGGCUUAACCUGGGAACUGCGUCGGAUACUGGAUGGCUUGAAUUCGGGAGAGGGAUGCAGAAUUCCAGGUGUAGCGGUGAAAUGCGUAGAUAUCAGGAGGAACACCGGUGGCGAAGGCGGUUCUCUGGGCAUGUCCUGACGCUGAGGAGCGAAAGUGUGGGGAGCGAACAGG